rnacentral:rRNA from 1 species
CAAACGACUCUCGGCAACGGAUAUCUCGGCUCACGCAUCGAUGAAGAACGUAGCAAAAUGCGAUACGUGGUGUGAAUUGCAGAAUCCCGUGAACCAUCGAGUUUUUGAACGCAAGUUGCGCCCGAAGCCAUUCGGCCGAGGGCACGUCUGCCUGGGCGUCACGC